AAGUCGUAACAAGGUUUCCGUAGGUGAACCUGCGGUUGGAUCAUUAACAAAAUGAUAAGAGUCCAGACCUAAACCCUCUGGGCUUUUAUAAACACCUGUGAACUGUAAUUGUAUCUGGUGGGCCUCAAAAACCCACCGUUAUGAACUUUUAUAUCUUGAAUUAGUUUUUAAAUUAAAUAAAUUUAUAACAACUUUUGACAACGGAUCUCUAGGCUCUC
rnacentral:misc_RNA from 1 species